UGGGGAGUAUUGGACAAUGGACGAAAGUCUGAUCCAGCAAUACCGCGUGAGGGAUGAAGGUCUUCGGAUUGUAAACCUCGAUUAAGAGAUGAUGAAGGUCCACGCAAGUGGAUUUGACAGUAAUCUCAGUAAAGUCACGGCUAACUACGUGCCAGCAGCCGCGGUAAUACGUAGGUGGCAAGCGUUAUUCGGAUUUACUAGGCGUAAAGGACAGGUAGGUGGUUAGGCAAGUUGAAAGUGAAAUUCCCUGUUAAAUCAGGGUAGGUCUUUCAAAACUGCUUGGCUUGAGUGUAGGAGGGGAAAUCGGAAUUCCUGGUGUAGCGGUGAAAUGCGUAGAUAUCAGGAGGAACACCGAUGGCGAAAGCGGAUUUCUAUCCUAUUACUGACACUGAUCUGUGAAGGCGCGGGGAGCAAACAGG
rnacentral:rRNA from 1 species